rnacentral:rRNA from 1 species
GGGGGCAGUCUCGGAGUGUUAGAGCGGCGGACGGGUGAGUAAUGCGUGGGAAUCUGGCUAGUAGUGGGGGAUAACUUGGGGAAACUCAAGCUAAUACCGCAUAAUAUCUUAGGAUUAAAGGGUGCCUCUUCGUGAAAGCACUUGCUAUUAGAUGAGCCCACGUCGGAUUAGCUAGUUGGUUGGGUAAAGGCUGACCAAGGCGACGAUCCGUAGCUGGUCUGAGAGGAUGAUCAGCCACACUGGGACUGAGACACGGCCCAGACUCCUACGGGAGGCAGCAGUGGGGAAUAUUGGACAAUGGGCGCAAGCCUGAUCCAGCCAUGCCGUGUGUGUGAAGAAGGCUUUAGGGUUGUAAAGCACUUUAAGUUGUGAGGAAGUGGCGCGGAUGAAUAGUUUGUGUCAUUGACGUUAGCGACAGAAUAAGCACCGGCUAACUCCGUGCCAGCAGCCGCGGUAAUACGGAGGGUGCGAGCGUUAAUCGGAAUUACUGGGCGUAAAGGGCGCGUAGGUGGUUUGGUAAGUUAGAUGUGAAAUUCCCGGGCUUAACCUGGGGCGGUCAUCUAAAACUGUCAGGCUAGAGUGCGAUAGAGGGGGGUAGAAUUUCCGGUGUAGCGGUGAAAUGCGUAGAGAUCGGAAGGAAUACCGGUGGC